rfam:Aedes albopictus isolate Foshan contig107911, whole genome shotgun sequence.
UGCCCAGCAACUCCUAUCCUUACCUCUACGCGGUACCGGCCGGAAACUAUGAGCAACCUUAGGGAAGAUCGGGUAACCAACCCCGGUGGGAACUUUGGUCGUAGGCUGACAGGGAAGG